rnacentral:rRNA from 1 species
GACGAACGCUGGCGGCGUGCUUAACACAUGCAAGUCGAACGCUGAAGCUUGGUGCUUGCACUGGGUGGAUGAGUGGCGAAUGGGUGAGUAAUACGUGAGUAACCUGCCCUUGACUCUGGGCUAAGCCUGGGAAACUGGGUCUAAUACUGGAUACGACAUGUCACCGCAUGGUGGUGUGUGGAAAGGGUUUUACUGGUUUUGGAUGGGCUCACGGCCUAUCAGCUUGUUGGUGGGGUGAUGGCUCACGAAGGCGACGACGGGUAGCCGGCCUGAGGGGGUGGCCGGCCACACUGGGACUGAGACACGGCCCAGACUCCUACGGGAGGCAGCAGUGAGGAAUAGUGCACAGUGGGCGGAAGCCUGAUGCAGCGACGCCGCGUGAGGGAUGACGGCCUUCGGGUUGUAGACCUCUUUCAGCACGGAAGAAGCGAAAGUGACGGUACGUGCAGAAGAAGCGCCGGCUAACUACGUG